UAUUUUCUAGCUCAGAAUUUAACUUUUAUUCCCAAGUAUCGACUCCAUAUGGAAUAUAAAAGUGUAGAAAAUAAACUCAGAAAAGCUACAAGUGGAAAAUUAAUAUGAAGAAGGAAGUAAUGGAUAAGGAUCAAUGCAGUUAAACAGACAUCCGUUUAUAAAAUAAGAGCAAGGCAAUUAGCUUAAUAAAAAUCAAUGGUCUUCAGGGAAUACCUCAAUACAAAUGAAAAUUUAAGUUUUGCAGGAAUUUCGUCCCCACAAAAUGCAGCUUCUUCAGCUAUCUUGAGUAGAACUCCCCGCAGAAUUUCUCUCAAAUUACAUGCCAGAAGUUAUCUUCUCAAAUAUCUGUAACAAGAAUUAAAGAUUAGUCACCUGUUCACCAGGAUUUAAAAUUUUGAGAUCCAUUGAAUGGUAAUGCUCCGUCAAUGACCUAAAGUUACCCCAUUCCAUAUUGGUAAACUGCUAUUAGGAUUUUUACCAAUCUCCUAUGUCCCAGGAAACAAUGAUCUUCACAGAUUUGCAUGACAGGCAGGAGAGAAAAUGCAGCAGAAAUGGCAGAAUAUAAAACCAGCAAAGAACUCAGAUAAAUGGACACAAGAAUAGCUUGUUUUAGGGACUAAAUUUCAUCAACCAAUGCAGGGAAUUUAACCCCCAGUCAAUCUGCCAUUCAAGAAGAAUAUUACAUAGUGUUUAUCUUACCCAAAACACCACCACUCACCACCCAACCGGGAAUAACCAGAAAGUUUACAAGGACUUGUGUUACAGAGAAUUCUAUCUCACACUACCUUACUUUCUCUAUCUACAGAUAUCCCCCUCUUGCUCACACUUCACGUAUAUAGCCCUCUAUCCUAUUUA
rnacentral:lncRNA from 1 species